ensembl:lncRNA MMADHC-DT MMADHC divergent transcript
CUCGGACCAGAUCCGGGAGGGGAAUGGGGGCUGGGUGGCCAAAAUUCAGUCCAGAGGAUCGAAGCGGCUGCUUUAACAGAAGUUGGGGCUGCGUAACAACAGCUCCAAGCAAAGCUUCAGGCUGAUCGGAAAGAUGAGGAAGCAGAAAAGAGACUAAAGACAGACGGACAGGAUGGCUGGGGACAACGACAGGGACCCAGUGAAAAUACGGGCAAUACCGAGGGCUGUAACCCUAACACGGGCAAAUUUGGAGGGGCUAACAUGGGCGGAAACCAUCCGUACCAGUCACCACCACUGUCUCCAGCUGUCCCAGAACCGGACUCUUCCUGCCAUCAAAAUGGCGGCGGCGACGGCAGCGGUGGUAGCACCUACGCUGGCGGUGAGCAGGCAAAGGAAGUUGCUUCCGAGCGCGUCGAAACGAUGAUGCGCACGCGCAAAGUAGGCCUACGUGGAGCCGACCUGCCAUUGGGUAAACGCAAGGGAGGAGAAAAGGGAACCUGAUGGAAUAAACUGCUGUGAGAGGGAGUAUUGAAAGAGCCAUUUCCUCAUCAUAAAGAUGCAGUAGCCAUAAUUAUUCCAAUCAUCCAAAAGAGAAGACUUUAAAGUACAGUAGUUAGCCAUCAAAAAGAGAAGGCUAAUAUCCAGUUAUGAGAGCAUUUUCCCAAGAUACUUCUCCCCUGGACCUUGUUCCCAGGCUCCGUGUGAAGCUGAACACUCCGCAUGAUCUCCCUGCCACCAUAGCAAGCUAUGAAGUUCAUUACACAUGCAGGUAGCAGACAAUACAGCUCUGCUUCCAUUUCUGAGCACCUACGGUAGACUGCCAUUAUUCAGUGUGCCAGCCUGUUUCCAAGCCUACAAUGUAUAGUUCCUCUAGUACGUAAACUCAUUUUUUUUCUCAGAGAGCCAAGUAGAGACACAGGCAGUUUUCUUCUCAAAAUGUGCCAGAAAUUCCAAAACAAUCUCAAAGCAUUAAAGGCUAUGUGCACAAAGUACA